rnacentral:hammerhead_ribozyme from 1 species
AUUCAGAUGAGGAGUCUCAAAUAGGACGAAAUGCCCAUCAUGGAU